AACUCUCUGCAGGGCAGUAUGCUUGUCAGUGAAGAUUCGUCUGAGACAGCGUUUUUGCUAGUUGAAAACUACAACUAUGACUGCUUUCGUUGGUAUUCGGAUCGGCAAGGAACUUUUUUCCAAACAAAUACGAU
rnacentral:snRNA from 1 species